GUCAGGGUUUUCCCUGCAUGGAAAUGGAAUGUGUUGAGGGAAUAUUCUACAGAACCGCUUCGUGGUGGUCCUGCAUCGGUGGCAAUUUGAACCCUUGUCAAUAGAGGUUAAAGUUGAAGAUGACCCCUGGGGGUCAGCCGUUGGGGUCAAGGGUCAGAGGUGAACUAUCGCCACAACAAUCUGACAGACAGACUCCCAAAGGCGUGUAGCCUACGGGCAUGACCAAAUAUAGAGACCCACAACCACGCCACAUCACAAGACAGUGACGGCAUGGACUCAAAGUAGAUGUCACCAUAGCAUUAAGUCUAUCGGAUAUGUCACCUUUGACGCUUGACCUCUAGUGACAUACCCUAGGGGACACCAGUGGUCGAUGACAUCAUCCGACCACAGUCUCCGGUGACAGGCGGGCAGCGUCAGCAUAGCUGGAUGUGACUAAUGGAAAGAUAAAGUAGUUGCUAGGAGUGGUGGUAGGAGUCAGGCGCAGAGAGCAGAGUCAGCAUCUUUUAGAAAACAGCACAAUUCAUUAAAGAAUACCAAGAACCCUUUGAAUGGCUCACCGCCAAGGACGCUACAGCGGGAGAAGAGAUUUGACAGGAGAGGAGAGAAAAAGAAGAGAUUAAAAAGAAAAGAGACAGAAAGAAAAGAAUCAGAAAUAAAGCCCUGACAGGCACAGAGAGAUUCAUAGGAUGUAACCCCCCCAUAUGAUAACAUACUAGCCAAUCAGAGAGAAAUGAAAUGUGCAAUUAACCACUAGGCAGGAAGUAGGAGGCGUGU
rnacentral:lncRNA from 1 species